rnacentral:rRNA from 1 species
UACGUAGGGUGCAAGCGUUAAUCGGAAUUACUGGGCGUAAAGCGUGCGCAGGCGGUUCGCUAAGACAGGUGUGAAAUCCCCGGGCUCAACCUGGGAAUGGCAGUGGAUACUGGACGGCUAGAAUGCGGUAGAGGGUAGUGGAAUUCCCGGUGUAGCAGUGAAAUGCGUAGAGAUCGGGAGGAACACCAGUGGCGAAGGCGGCUACCUGGACCAGCAUUGACACUCAAGCACGAAAGCGUGGGGAGCAAACAGG